rfam:Strigomonas culicis Cont8407, whole genome shotgun sequence.
GGGGAAAUAGUUCAGUGGCAGAACACCAGAUUGUGGCUCUGAUGACCCGGGUCCGAUUCCCGGUUUCCCCU